CACAUGGUAAGUAAACAAAACACACAUUUCACUAAUAAUAUGUUUUCUUCUUUUUUUUUCUUUUCAGGUUUUCUGGACGAGAGGUUCCCAGGAUGUUUAUCUUGGCUAUGGAUUAUCUGUAUUAUGUAUAUUGGAGAAAACUACCGACUAUUACUUUUUCCGCACUGAAAAAUGCAUAGUGGCACCCCAUAGUUGCUUCAGAUACCUCUUCCUUUCCUGUAAUUGGUCCCCGACCAACUGUAGCACGUAUAGUGCAAACCACGUUAUGCCUUUUGGACUACGUUACUUGAUUUUAUCAGUUGGAAAUUGCCUAUUUGCCUAGAGACUAUACAAUGCUUUGGGACAUUACGAAUUUCAUCACAGAUAUAUAAUAUUAUCUGGUAGAUGAUUUAUGCUCAUAGCCAAGGACUAUACACUAAGCUAACACCUAAAGGAGCCCCCUGAGGAUGUAUGGUCUAUUCCAAUGGCGAAACUAUAUUUAUUCCACUAACAAAUUAACUAACGAGUGCCCUUAUAGAAAUGGCUGUGGAGGUUUGUUUCCUAUCUUAAAAAAUAUACACUGAACGAUUACACUACAUCGAAUAUUUUCUCACGGGACACAACUUAUUCUAACUUAUAAUAUAACUUAUUCUAAAAAUUUUAUAUUUUGUAGUAACCCUUAUUGCUUGGCUUUAAUAAUAAAAUCUUUGUUUCACUAGAAAUCACUGGUGUCUUAAAUAAAUUACUUAUCUUUGAUAUGGUAGAAUAAUGUUGAAUCCUUGAUGUUACAACGCGUUCU